rnacentral:rRNA from 1 species
GGAAUAUUGGACAAUGGGCGCAAGCCUGAUCCAGCCAUGCCGCGUGCAGGAUGACGGUCCUAUGGAUUGUAAACUGCUUUUAUACGAGAAGAAACACUCCGACGUGUCGGAGCUUGACGGUAUCGUAAGAAUAAGGAUCGGCUAACUCCGUGCCAGCAGCCGCGGUAAUACGGAGGAUCCAAGCGUUAUCCGGAAUCAUUGGGUUUAAAGGGUCCGUAGGCGGUUUAAUAAGUCAGUGGUGAAAGCCCAUCGCUCAACGGUGGAACGGCCAUUGAUACUGUUAGACUUGAAUUAUUAGGAAGUAACUAGAAUAUGUAGUGUAGCGGUGAAAUGCUUAGAGAUUACAUGGAAUACCAAUUGCGAAGGCAGGUUACUACUAAUUGAUUGACGCUGAUGGACGAAAGCGUGGGUAGCGAACAGGAUUAGAUACCCGGG